AAGCGAAACGGGGCUUCGGCCCCGUAAUCCGGAGGCGGUGCUCCGGGUCUGAAGAGCAGCCAAAA
rnacentral:hammerhead_ribozyme from 1 species